GGGACGCGUCGCCUACUGCUGGAUCAGUUUCCUUGUGAAAUACUUUGCUCUAAAAUAACUUUAAAAUAUUCUGUCAGCACACUUUUUCGUUUUACAAGUGCCAACUUUUAAAAAAGGGAUCAUGACACAAGAAAUAGAGAGUCCACCAUGACCGACCCACAAAGAAAUAUGUGGGAACACAGCUGUCAUUUUACACCAUGAGACCUAAUUACAGUAGUUAAGUAAGAAUCUGUGUCAACACGUCAAUCGCAGCAGAACAGUUUGCCCACGUGAAAUGGACUGAACACAAAAAACCCACAAAAGACCUCUUGAUGGCAGUGUUUGUAAGAGGCACUCUCAAAACACUCCUGCUACAUGGGAAGAUGUUCCAACGCAUUCAAAGACAAAGCAGCCAAGCCUCAACUUGAUUCUGAAAAAGUGUCUUGACAUCAUUAGCUACAUCAAAAAUAAAUUUAAUGAUGAAGAAAAUGUAAUUAAGAAGGCCAUCUCCCAGAAAUGUGCCGAUGAAUGAAAGUUGGCAAAAAGGCGCCACAGUGAUUGUGUGUGUGUGUGUGUGUACGCCAGACUGAUUUGUUCAGAAAUGUUGUAUUUUACAGCUACUGCUUCAUAGUUGUGUAGUUUUUUUAAUAUAUAUUCA